GGCUGUGAAUUGACUUAAUCUCAGCUGGCAACUGUGAGCAAUUUAUAAAUUCUCUCACAGUGGUAUCUGGGAUUAUGCUAAACACAGCA
rnacentral:pre_miRNA from 1 species